GGAGAUGAUUUGAAGCGGUGCUACAAUCUACAGUGGUCGGUGGACAAGUGUGAUGGACACCAGAGCCAGAUGCUUUAGUUCACACUAUGACUGUGACUGAUGUACCUCUGCAACAAACUGACUGUCUUACUUGUAACCUGAUUGGAGGACGGUCUAGGGAAGGAUAUAGGAAUUAAGCUUACUUCACAGCUAUACUCUGCAAAAGUACCUUCAGCGAAUAAGACGUCAACAUCCAUCUUGUUUAUAUCAAUGAUUGUGGACAUUACUUUUGUAUUCUUUGUAAUUUAAUUCUCUGACGUUGUAUUCUCUUAAUACAUUGCGUUUGCUAAAAUUCUUGUGUGUAAGCUUUAGAACUCUAGAUGUCAAACACAGAUUUACGGCCAAGUGUCAACCCGGGGUUUGAAGCACGUUAUACUAGUUUCAACUUUUAUCAGACUGAUCCAUCGAUUUCAGCUAUGACA